rnacentral:rRNA from 1 species
UACAGAGGGGGCAAGCGUUAUUCGGAAUUAUUGGGCGUAAAGGGCGCGUAGGCGGCCUCUGCAAGUCGACUGUGAAAUCUCCGGGCUUAACCCGGAAAGGUCAGCCGAUACUGCAGGGCUAGAGUGCAGAAGGGGCAACUGGAAUUCUCGGUGUAGCGGUGAAAUGCGUAGAUAUCGAGAGGAACACCUGCGGCGAAGGCGGGUAGCUGGGCCGACACUGACGCUGAGGCGCGAAAGCCAGGGGAGCGAACGGG